rnacentral:rRNA from 1 species
CCUACGAGCGGCAGCAGUGAGGAAUAUUGGUCAAUGGACGUGAGCCUGAACCAGCCAAGUCGCGUGAAGGAUGACUGUUCUAUGGAUUGUAAACUUCUUUUAUAAAGGAAUAAAACGUGGCACGUGUCCCUUUUUGCAUGUACUUUAUGAAUAAGGAUCGGCUAACUCCGUGCCAGCAGCCGCGGUAAUACGGAGGAUCCGAGCGUUAUCCGGAUUUCUUGGGUUUAAAGGGUGCGUAGACGGGUUUUUAAGUCAGCUGUGAAAGUUUGUGGCUCAACCAUAAAAUUGCAGUUGAUACUGGGAGUCUUGAGUACAUUUGAGGUAGGCGGAAGGCGUGGUGUAGCGGUGAAAUGCUUAGAUAUCACGAAGAACCCCGAUUGCGAAGGCAGCCUACCAA